rnacentral:miRNA from 1 species
AUGUGCCUCGUCGACCGGAAGGGGUUUCUUCCAGCCGACGAGGUACAUGUACCUCGCCGGCUGGAAGGAAAUCCUUCCAGUUGACGAGGCAUGU